rnacentral:lncRNA from 1 species
CGAAUGUUUGCAUCCGAGGUCUGCCGCCGCCAUAAAACUCUGUCCGGCCAAAACACUAGCAGCCCUGCUGGAAACUGCCAGCAUUUUCUCUCUCCUCUUCAUAAAUCUCAAAACCCAAUUUCCAUAUAUUCUAAACACAAAAAUAUCAUGAAAAAAUGACAUUAAUUUGAUAGUAAUAUAUAGGACAAGAUCCUCCUCAAAUCC